GGAGAGAUGGCUCAGCAGUUAAGAGCAUUGACUGCCUUUCCAAAGGUUCUGGGUUUGAUUCCCAGCAUCUACA
rnacentral:tRNA from 1 species